rnacentral:piRNA from 1 species
UGACAGAGGCCUUUUAGAACCCCAUUCUUU